GGGCGGACGUAGCCAAGUGGAUUAGCAGUGGAUUGUGGAUCUCUACGCGCUGGUU
rnacentral:tRNA from 1 species